AGAGUUUGAUCAUGGCUCAGAAUCAACGCUGGCGGCGCGCCUAACACAUGCAAGUCGCACGAGAAAGCGGGGCAACCCGCAAGUACAGUGGCGUACGGGUGAGUAACACGUGGAUGAUCUACCUCUUAGUGGGGAAUAACCCUGGGAAACCGGGGCUAAUACCGCAUGAGCUCGAGAGAGGAAAGCAGCAAUGCGCUGAGAGAGGAGUCCGCGGCCGAUUAGCUAGUUGGCAGGGUAAGAGCCUACCAAGGCGAAGAUCGGUAGCCGGCCUGAGAGGGCACACGGCCACACUGGCACUGAAACACGGGCCAGACUCCUACGGGAGGCAGCAGUGGGGAAUCUUGCACAAUGGGGGAAACCCUGAUGCAGCGACGCCGCGUGAGCGAUGAAGCCCUUCGGGGUGUAAAGCUCUUUCGUCAGGGAAGAUCAUGACGGUACCUGGAGAAGCAGCUGCGGCUAACUACGUGCCAGCAGCCGCGGUAAUACGUAGGCAGCAAGCGUUGUUCGGAGUUACUGGGCGUAAAGGGUGUGUAGGCGGUUGUUUAAGUUUGGUGUGAAAUCUCCCGGCUCAACCGGGAGGGUGCGCCGAAUACUGAAUGACUUCGAGUGCGGGAGAGGAGAGUGGAAUUCCUGGUGUAGCGGUGAAAUGCGUAGAUAUCACGAGGAACACCGGUGGUGUAGACGGCUCUCUGGACCGUAACUGACGCUGAAACACGAAAGCGUGGGUAGCAAACAGGAUUAGAUACCCUGGUAGUCCACGCCCUAAACGAUGCACAUUUGGUGUGGCAGUUCAUUCUGUCCGUGCCGGAGCUAACGCGUUAAUGUGCCGCCUGGGAGUACAGUCGCAGGCUGAAACUCAAAGGAUUGACGGGGCCCGCACAAGCGGUGGAGCAUGGUGGUUCAAUUCGACGCAACGCGGAGGAC
rnacentral:rRNA from 1 species